rnacentral:rRNA from 1 species
AUACGUAGGGGGCUAGCGUUAUCCGGAAUUACUGGGCGUAAAGGGUGCGUAGGUGGUUUCUUAAGUCAGAAGUGAAAGGCUACGGCUCAACCGUAGUAAGCUUUUGAAACUAAGAGACUUGAGUGCAGGAGAGGAGAGUAGAAUUCCUAGUGUAGCGGUGAAAUGCGUAGAUAUUAGGAGGAAUACCCGUUGCGAAGGCGGCUCUCUGGACUGUAACUGACACGGAGGCACGAAAGCGUGGGGAGCAAACAGGAUUAGAUACCCUGGUAGUCCACGCCGUAAACGAUGAGUACUAGCUGUCGGGGGUUACCCCCCUCGGUGGCGCAGCUAACGCAUUAAGUACUCCGCCUGGGAAGUACGCUCGCAAGAGUGAAACUUAAAGGAAUUGGCGGGG